rnacentral:lncRNA from 13 species
AUGCCUCCGACUUCACCACCACUAACACACAUCUCGAUGCACGAUGCACAAACACACACACUUCACCCUUACAGAAGUGGACCAAUCCAUUCACAAUUCACACUGGGCACCAUAACCCAUCAGUGCAGACAGACAGACUGGCGGAUGAUGGACAGACAUAUACCCACAAACCACCAUGUUUCACAUUCAUAUGUGUUCUCUCUCAAACUAUUGGACAAAACUGAAUAUGAACUACAACAGAACAUGGACUACAACAGAAUAUGGACUACAACAGAAUAUGGACUACUACAGAAUAUGGGACUACAACAGAAUAUGGACUACAACAGAAUAUGGACUACUACAGAACAUGGGACUACUACAGAAUAUGGACUACAUCAGAAUAUGGACUACUACAGAAUAUGGACUACUACAGAAUAUGGACUACUACAGAAUAUGGACUACUACAGAAUAUGGAUUACAACAGAACAUGGACUACAACAGAAUAUGGACUACAACAGAAUAUGGACUAGAACAGAAUAUGGACUACUACAGAAUAUGGACUACUACAGAAUAUGGACUACUACAGAAUAUGGACUACUACAGAAUAUGGACUACUACAGAACAUGGGACUACAACAGAAUAUGGACUACAACAGAAUAUGGACUACAAAGGGAGGGUCUGGGUGGGCAUCUGUCCGCGGUGGCGGCUCUGGCGUAGGACGUGGACCCCACUCCACCAUAGUCUUAGUCCGCCUCUGUGGCCCCCUAGGAACGGCAACUCUUGCCACCGACCCUAACCUGGGAACCCUAAUAAAUAGGCCCACAGGACUGAGGGACCCCCCUGGACUUAACAAAUUCCUCCGGACUGAGGGGCAGCUCAGGACUGAGGGGUAGCUCAGGACUGAGGGGUAGCUCAGGACUGAGAGGUAGCUCAGGACUGAGAGGUAGCUCAGGACUGAGAGGUAGCUCAGGACUGAGAGGUAGCUCAGGCUGGUUGACGGCUCCAUGCUGACUGCCGGCUCUGGCGGCUCCAUGCUGACUGGCGACUCUGGUGGCUCAUGACAGACCGGCGGCUCUGGCGGCUCAGGGCAGACUGGCGGCUCUGGCGGCUCAGGACAGACUGGCGGCUCUGGCGGCUCAGGACAGACUGGCGGCUCUGGCGGCUCAGGACAGACUGGCGGCUCAGGACAGACGGGAGACUCAAGCAGCUCUGGACAGGCGGGAGACUCGAGCAGCUCUGGACAGGCGGGAGACUCGAGCAGCUCUGGACAGGCGGGAGACUCUAGCAGCUCUGGACUGGACUGAGACUCUAGCAGCUCUGGACUGGACUGAGACUCUAGCAGCUCUGGUCAGGCAGGAGACUCUAGCAGCUCUGAACUGGACUGAGACUCUAGCAGCUCUGGUCAGGCAGGAGACUCUAGCAGCUCUGGAGAGACGGAAGACUCUAGCAGCUCUGGAGAGACGGGAGACUCUAGCAGCUCUGGAGAGACGGGAGAAUCUGGCUGCGCUGGAGAGGAGGAAAGCUCUAGCAUCGCUGGACAGGCGGGAGCACCUGUAGCCAAAGGACGGAGAGACAGCCUGGUGCGGGGGGCUGCCACCGGAGGGCUGGUGCGUGGAGGUGGCACUGGAUGGACCGGACCGUGAAGGCGUACUGGAGAUCUUGAAAGCAGGGCUGUCGCCAUCUGCCCCGGCUGGAUCUUCACCCUAGCCCGGCAGAUGUGGGGAGCUGGGAUGUAGCGCACCGGGCUAAGCACGCGUACUGGGGACACCAUGCGUUCCACUGCAUAACACGGUGCCUGACCAGUACAACGCCCACCACGGUUAGCACGGCUAGGAGCACUGUAGCGCUGAGCUGGCACAGGACAUGCAGGGCUAGGAAGGUGCACAGGAGGCCUGGUGCGUGAUGCUGGCACAGUCUUCACCAGACGACUAGCAGGCACCUCAGGACGAGUAUGGCUCCUCACGGUAAACAGGGGGAGUUGGCUCGGGUCUAACUCCGGACUCUGCCACACUCUCCCUGUGCCUCCCCCCCAAGAAAUUUUUGGGGCUGCCUCUCGGGCGUCCAGCCGCGCUGCCGUGCCAGCUCCUCGUAAUGCUGCCUCUCUGCUUUCGCUGCCUCCAGUUCUGCUUUGUGGCGGCGAUAUUCCCCUGGCUCUGCCCAGGGUCCUUUUCCGUCCAACUCGUCCUCCCAUGUCCAUGAGGCUUGUGAUGCUGGCCGUUGCUGCCGCUGCUGCUGCUGCCUCUCCUGCUGCACUUUGGGGCGUCGAUAUUCCCCUGGCUUUGCCCAGGGUCCUCUCCCGUCUAGGAUUUCCUCCCACGUCCAGGAGUCUUGUGUCUUCGGCCGCUGUUGCUGCUGCCCGUUAACCAUGCCGCUUGGUCCUUGGUUGGUGGGUGAUUCUGUAAGGGUUUUCCUCCUCUUUGUCUGAAGAGGAGGUGUAGCAAGGAUCGGACCAAGACGCGGCGUGGUAAGUGUCCAUGGUUGUUUAUUUAAAAACAUAAACUGAACACUCAAUGAAUACAAAACAAUAACCGUGAACAAAACCGAAACAGUACCGUGUGGCGAACAAACACAGACACGGAAACAAUCACCCACCAAACAACAGCGAAACCCAGGCUACCUAAGUGUGAUUCUCAAUCAGAGACAACUAACGACACCUGCCUCUGAGAACCAUACUAGGCCGAACACAGAAAACCAACCUAGAAACACAAAAACAUAGAAUGCCCACCCAACUCACGUCCUGACCAACUAAAACAAACAAAUAACACAAGAACUAGGGUCAGAACAUGACAUGUAGAAUGUUAACGUACGUUGACGUCUAUAGAAUGUUAACGCACUUCUACAUUCUAUAAUGUCAAUGUAUGUUAACAUUCUAUAGAUGUCAAUGUACGUUAACAUUCUAUAGAUGUCAAUGUACGUUAACAUUCUAUAGACGUCAAUAUACGUUAACAUUCUAUAGACGUCAAUGUACGUUAACAUUCUAUAGAUGUCAAUGUACGUUAACAUUCUAUAGAUGUCAAUGUACGUUAACAUUCUAUAGAUGUUAAUGUAUGUUAACAUUCUAUAGAUGUCAAUGUACGUUAACAUUCUAUAGAUGUCAAUGUAUUUUAACAUUCUAUAGAUGUCAAUGUACGUUAACAUUCUAUACAUGUCAAUGUACGUUAACAUUCUAUACAUGUCAAUGAACGUUAACAUUCUAUAGAUGUCAAUGUAUGUUAACAUUCUAUACAUGUCAAUGUACGUUAACAUUCUAUACAUGUCAAUGAACGUUAACAUUCUAUACAUGUCAAUGAAUUUAACAUUCUAUACAUGUCAAUGUACUUUAACAUUCUAUACAUGUCAAUGAAUUUAACGUCUAUAGAAUGUUAAAUUCACUAACGUCUAUAGAAUGUUACAUUCAUUAACGUCUAUAGAAUGUUAAAUUCAUUAACGUCUAUGGAAUGUUAAAUUCAUUAACGUCUAUAGAAUGUUAAAUUAAUUAACGUCUAUAGAAUGUUAAAUUCAUUAACAUCUAUAGAAUGUUAAAUUCAUUAACGUCUAUAGAAUGUUAAAUUCAAUGACGUCUAAUGAAUGUUANNNNNNNNNNAUUGGUCACAUGGUUAGCAGAUGUUAUUGGUCACAUGGUUAGCAGAUGUUAUUGGUUACAUGGUUAGCAGAUGUUAUUGGUUACAUGGUUAGCAGAUGUUAUUGGUCACAUACACAUGGUUAGCAGAUGUUAUUGGUCACAUGGUUAGCAGAUGUUAUUGGUUACAUGGUUAGCAGAUGUUAUUGGUCACAUGGUUAGCAGAUGUUAUUGAUCACAUGGUUAGCAGAUGUUAUUGGUCACAUGAUUAGCAGAUGUUAUUGGUUACAUGGUUAGCAGAUGUUAUUGGUUACAUGGUUAGCAGAUGUUAUUGGUCACAUGGUAGCAGAUGUUAUUGGUCACAUGGUUAGCAGAUGUUAUUGCAAGUGUAGCGAAAUGCUUGUGCUUCUGCUUAAUGCUCAUGGAGUUCUGGUCAUGGAGUUCUGGUCAUGGAGUUCUGCUCAUGGAGUUCUGCUCAUGG